GACGAACGCUGGCGGCGUGCCUAAUACAUGCAAGUCGAACGAGAGCGACCGGUGCUUGCACUGGUCAAUCUAGUGGCGAACGGGUGAGUAACACGUGGGUAACCUGCCCUUCAGAGGGGGAUAACAUCCGGAAACGGAUGCUAAAACCGCAUAGGUCUUCGAACCGCAUGGUUUGAAGAGGAAAAGAGGCGCAAGCUUCUGCUGAUGGAUGGACCCGCGGUGCAUUAGCUAGUUGGUGAGGUAACGGCUCACCAAGGCCGUGAUGCAUAGCCGACCUGAGAGGGUGAUCGGCCACAUUGGGACUGAGACACGGCCCAAACUCCUACGGGAGGCAGCAGUAGGGAAUCUUCCGCAAUGGACGCAAGUCUGACGGAGCAACGCCGCGUGAGUGAAGAAGGUUUUCGGAUCGUAAAACUCUGUUGUUAGAGAAGAACAAGUGCUAGAGUAACUGUUAGCGCCUUGACGGUAUCUAAACAGAAAGCCACGGCUAACUACGUG
rnacentral:rRNA from 1 species